rnacentral:rRNA from 1 species
GCGGAGGAAAAGAAACCAACAGGGAUUCCCCUAGUAACGGCGAGUGAAGCGGGAACAGCUCAAAUUUGAAAUCUGGCCCUCGGGUCCGAGUUGUAAUUUGUAGAGGAUGCUUUUGGUGCGGUGCCUUCCGAGUUCCCUGGAACGGGACGCCUUAGAGGGUGAGAGCCCCGUACGGUUGGACGCCUAGCCUCUGUAAAGCUCCUUCGACGAGUCGAGUAGUUUGGGAAUGCUGCUCUAAAUGGGAGGUAUAUUUCUUCUAAAGCUAAAUACUGGCCAGAGACCGAUAGCGCACAAGUAGAGUGAUCGAAAGAUGAAAAGCACUUUGAAAAGAGGGUUAAAUAGCACGUGAAAUUGUUGAAAGGGAAGCGUUUAUCACCAGACUUUUUCUAGGGGGAUCAUCCGGUGUUCUCACCGGUGCACUUCCCCUGGUUGAGGCCAGCAUCGGUUUUCGGAGGGGGAUAAAAGCUUCGGGAAUGUGACUCCCUCGGGAGUGUUAUAGCCCGUUGCAUAAUACCCUUCUGGGGACCGAGGUUCGCGCAUCUGCAAGGAUGCUGGCAUAAUGGUGAUCAACGACCCGUCUUGAAACACGGACCAAGGAGUCGAACAUUUAUGCGAGUGUUUGGGUGUCAAACCCUCACGCGUAAUGAAAGUGAACGGAGGUGAGAGCCCUUACGGGUGCAUCAUCGACCGAUCCUGAUGUCUUCGGAUGGAUUUGAGUAAGAGCAUAACUGUUCGGACCCGAAAGAUGGUGAACUAUGCGUGGAUAGGGUGAAGCCAGGAGAAAUCCUGGUGGAGGCUCGCAGCGGUUCUAAC